AAUAAUAAUACUAUUUAUGAAUUAAGACGGUUUCUGAAGUACGAGAAUCUACUUUGCAGUGGUUCACCUACAAUAAGUAGGUUAAAUGGAUUUGUCAGUAUAAUUGCUAUUCUUUCGUCCUACGUCAACAAGCCUUUUGGAUCUAUCUAGUUGAAGAAGCAAAUUUACAAUGUCGUCUUCUAAAAAUAUAUGUUGUAAAAGUGAAGAUUAAAAUGAUGUCAAUUG